ACCACUGCACUCCAGCCUGGGUGACAGAGCGAGACCCUGUCUCAAAAGAAAAAAAAAAGUUGGCCGGGCGCAGUGGCUCACGCUUGUAAUCCCAGCGCUUUGGAAGGCCCAGGCGGGUGGAUCACGAGAUCAGGAGAUCGAGACCAUUCUGGCUAACACUGUGAAACCCUGUCUCUACUAAAAACAUAAAAAAUUAGCCGGGCGUGGUGGCGGGCGCCUGUAGUCCCAGCUACUCGGGAGGCUGAGGCAGGAGAAUGGCAUGAACCCGUGAGGCAGAGCUUGCAGUGAGUCAAGAUCGAGCCACUGCACCUCAGCCUGGGCAACAGAGCGAGACUCUGUCUCAAAAAAAAAAAGUUAUCUACUUAAAAUAGGGAGAUUAUCAGGCCCGGCGCCGUGGCUUACGCCUGUAAUCCCAGCACUUUGGGAGGCAGAAGUGGGUGGAUCAUGAGGUCAGGAGGUCGAGACCAUCCUGGCUAACACGGUGAAACCCCGUCUCUACUAAAAAUACAAAAAAAUUAGACGGGCGUGGUGGCGGGCGUCUGUAGUCCCAGCUACUCGGGAGGCUGAGGCAGGAGAAUGGCGUGAACUCGGGAGGCGGAGCUUGCAGUGAGCAGAGAUCUCACCACUGCACUCCAGCCUGGGCAACAGCGUGAGACUCUGUCUCAAAAAAAAAAAAAAAAAAAGGGAGAUUAUCCAAGUGGGCCCAGAGUAAUCAAAUAGACAUUUAACAGUGGAAAUGGAAGACAGAAGGGUAGGUCAGAGAGAGGGAUGAUAGAAGUAACAGGAAUGAUUCAAAAUGGGAGAGGGGCUUCACCCACUGUUGCAGGCUCUGAAGAAAAGGGGAUCAUGAGCCAAGGAAUGAAGGCAGCCUUCAGAAGCUAGAAAUGACCCUCAGCUAACAGACAACCAGGAAAGGAGACUUUGAUCCUUUAACUGCAAAGAACUGAAUUCUGCCAACAACUAAAUAAACAAGGAAAUGGAUUUGCCCCCCACCCCAAAACCUCCAUAAAGGAAUGCAUUCCUGCCAGCACCUUGAAUUUAGCCCAGCAUUAGUGAAGCCUUCAGAUGACUGCAGCCCAGAUAACAUUUUGACUGCAACCUUAUCGGAGACCUGGAGCCAGAACCACCUUUCCUAAACUGCUCCCAAGUUCCUGAUUCACGGAAACUGUGAAAGAAGCAACAGUCUAAAAGUCUCUAGUAUAUGGUGACCAGCAAGUGAAGAAGAAUAAGUGGAUGCAAAUUAAGAACUCAUCACUGUAAUCCCAACACUUUGGGAGGCUGAGGCAGGAGGAUAACUUGAGCCCAGGAGUUUGAGACCAGCUGGGUAACAUAGUCCCAAGAGUGUCUGCAGAAAAAUACCAAGGCAAAUUGUUGAGAAGAGCUACCAUCUCUGAAAAGCCCAUAUCAGAAAGAGUUCCAUCUAUCUGACAUCCUCCUACCUUCAUACUCCCCAGCAAAGACACAGCUGUCCACUUGCAGAAUGGGCCUCUCAGUGUCAAUGCCCUACAACAGAAUAAAGGAUCAUAAAAAAAAAAA